rnacentral:rRNA from 1 species
AGUAGGGAAUUGUUCGCAAUGGGCGCAAGCCUGACGACGCAACGCCGCGUGGAGGAUGAAGACCUUCGGGUCGUAAACUCCUUUCGACCGAGAUGAACAGCUUUCGACCUAAUACGUCGGGAGCCUGACAGUAUCGAGGGAAGCAGCCCCGGCUAACUCCGUGCCAGCAGCCGCGGUAAUACGGGGGGGGCAAGCGUUGUUCGGAAUUACUGGGCGUAAAGGGUUCGUAGGUGGCCAACUAAGUCAGACGUGAAAUCCCUCAGCUUAACUGGGGAACUGCGUCUGAUACUGGUUGGCUUGAGUGCAGGAGAGGAACGCGGAAUUCCAGGUGUAGCGGUGAAAUGCGUAGAUAUCUGGAGGAACACCGGUGGCGAAGGCGGCGUUCUGGACUGCAACUGACACUGAGGAACGAAAGCCAGGGGAGCAAA